CGGAAGCCGCCUGGACUGCCCCGGAAACGGAAGUCAGGGGGCGCCGUCCCAGAAGCUCUGAGCUAGGGACUGGCCCUGGCGAUAGUCGUGGAGAGAGCAAUACGCGCCUGAAGGUCUGUGCGCGCUGACGCCGGGCAGGGGAAUGGAAAUGAACCAGCACAUAGUGUAUCGAUUCUUUCUCAGGCUCGUAACAUUACGGAAUCCCUGUUGAAGUGCAAGCUGGACUGGCGGAAAUCAGAUUUCCCGUAUCUUCUCAAAGGCUGUUUGUCAAGAUUGGAUGCCUGGAGAGAGAGACCGAGACAGACGGAAGACAUACACAGAGAGAGACUGACUGACUUGUAUCUUUGAGAAAAGAAGGACACAGAAAAUUGCAGGGUAACCAGACCCUGUCUGAGAGAGAAUUCUUUCUUUGUGCUAACAGUGGAGAAAUGCGGGGCUGUCAUAUGAGGAGCAGUCUUACUCUUUGUGUAUCAGGUAAGGCAGAAAAGAGAAGACUAAGGUUCAAGGAAAGGGAGAAUUAGAAUCGGCCAAGUGAUUGAAAUCAACAAAAGGACGGCCAAGAAAUAUGAGAAACGAAGAGGAAGGAAAGACUGAGAGGGCGUUCUGUCAAUAGCAUUUAAAAGAGAGUAAGGAAUGUAAAGUGACCCGCUGUGAGGGAGCUACAAGAUACCAUCUGUGUUCUUUUCCCUGUGAGACCCUCUCUUCUGAAAAGAAUUGUCAUCCUCAAGCCCCGAACAGCGCUGCACUAUUUUGUUGGUGAUGUUGCUUUUAAAAUGUAGACUAUGAUGUUAUUUUAAGAGUUCAAUUAAUCUGCAACAACAUUCCAGUAUUUUGUAAAAUGAAAAUAUGCCGAGUCAUCCUGUCAAGAGAGAGGAUAACCUUCAAGAAGCUAGGGUAUUUUUUUCCCUAUCAUCAUGGUUGCCGAUUUUGACAGGGAGUUACCCAACGUGCAAGGAAUAUUCCUUGGUGUUAGCAGUGGGUUCCAUAUCAUGUUUUGAGCUAGUAUGGUCUUCUGGUCUAGAGCCAUUUGUGUCUGAAAAUGAUGGUUGUAGUAACAAUUUGUCAUAUUCUCUUUGCAGCAAGUUCCUUUUGCUCAUGAGCCUGUUAUUAUUGAAGAAGCAUUUAGUUGUAGGCGAGGAAGCUGAGCCCCAGAGAAGCUCACAACCUCCCCAAGCUCCCAUGGCUGAGGCUGGAAGUCCAAGAUCAUGAUGCCAGCAGAUUUGGUGUGGCUGGUGAGGACCUACUUCCUGAUUGGUAGAAGGGCUCGUUUAAACCUGGAGACAAUUCCACCACGUGACCAUCACAUUCUCUGUCAUGAAUAUCUGUUGCUGCUGGCCUGGCAUCCAUUGCCCGCUUCUCUGGUAAUAGCGUUUUGUCUUUUGGAGAAUCAUUCCUCCACCCCAUUCUCACCUUAUAGUGUUUUUAAAUGGGGCUCAUCUCAUUCUUCUUAUUCUGGGGCCUGACCAAUCAGAAUAUUAUUAUCUCUCAACUUCAGUAUUGGUCUGGGGAUGGACACAUGAUCCAAGCCAGGUCAAUGAGAAUUAAUUCUGGAACUUUGAAAGUAAAGAAGUUUUCUGCUCUGUGGUUGUUUAGGGGGCUGCAUGUAAUCCUGAUAUUUUGGUGGGGGGAGGGUGGCUAUCAUUUAAGAAGAAUGAUGCAGUGCGUAUGAGAACAGAGUUAAGAGUUCAAGAAAGAGCUUGUGACUUGGCAACAUUGUUUGCAUGCCUAAACUGUAGUUCAAAUACUUGAAUCAGAAUCAACUCCCUUUUUGUUCACAUGCCUGUUGAGUUGAAUUUUCUAUCAGUUGCAACUGAGAGUCUGAUACAUUCUCAUUCAUGAGGACACUGAGGCUCAGAGAAGUGAAAUAACCUACCCAGGAUACCCAGCUACUAUGAUUGGACCCUGUUUCUUUUGGUUUCAAAGACUAUCCCUCUUCCAUUAUCCCACACUGACUUUUGAACAGGAUUCUUAGAUUCGUGAUGCCACAAUAUGGAGAGUACUUUCACAUGGUUUACACUGCAUACUAAUUUACUGCUCUCUCACAUGUGCUCCCCACACAGGGCUGUUAUUAUUAUUGUUAUAAACACUGUAUUAUCAUUCCCAUUUUUCAGAUGAGGGUGUUGAGGAUUGACUGCAUGUGCACUGCAAGGUGGAGCUGCUUAUUUUAAGUCUGGUUUACUACUCAUUUCAUUUCCGUUCAUUACUUCCUGAACAUGCCACAAAAAGUAAUUGACCCAGCUGGUGGCCUCUUGACCCUUACUUUUCCCCAAGGAGCCUUGACCACUCCAUACCUUGGAAGUAGUUGCAUUUGGAGGAAACCUGACAUGAUGGAAAGGGCAUGGAGCCUGGGGGUUAAAGAGACCAAGCUUAGAUCUUCUUUCCACCACUUACUGGCUCUGUAACCAUGGGUGAGUUACCUUAUCAGAACUCUAGUUUCCUUUUGUCUAAAACCUAUGAGGCAGGCAAAAUAGUACUUAACCUUGCAAGAUUUUUGUGAGGAUUAAAUGAAAUCAAUCCAUGUGAGCAGUAAUCAUAAUAAUAUCAACAGUGAACAUGAAUUGAGCAUUUACUAUAUUAUUUACUAUUAUUAUCUCUAUAUACCAUGUGAGAAAGAGGUCAAGUGACUCACCCAAGGUCACAUAUCCCGUGAGUGGCAGAGCAGUAUUCAACCCAAUCAUGCUGGUUAAGAGUCCUUAAUCACACACUUGAAACAGUCAGUGUUUAAAUAAUAGGAGACUCUUUCUUCAUCCCACUCCCAUGUCUCCGGAAAGCUCAGCAUCCAGUGUUGGAAUUGAAGCAGUGAAACUAGGGUGGAAGAGGGCCAUGUCCAGGUGGCAUGGAUCAGAGUGGGCCUGGAAGCAGUAUGGGGGAGGUGAUGAUGGUCAAAGCACUCACAUGGACCAGAGACCAGAAAGACAGCUGGAACCUGGAUGCCGAUGAAGGAAGGCCCAGCAAGACAGAUGGGCUCAGUAAUUAGAGACCCACAGGACCAGAGAAGGCAGGACCAGUGAUACCUUAGUGACCCAGAGGGCUCUGUAUCUCAGACUCAGAGCUUUGCUGUGGUCUCUAUUAAGCUAGAAGCCCACUAAGGAGUGGUUGACCAGGACCCAGCAGAAGAAGGGGGUAGGAUUAGGGAACACUGCAGCUUCUGGCAGGUGUCUUGACAUUGACUAAAGCUUGGUGGUGAUAAUCUUGAUUCAUUCAUUCGAUAUAUCUUUGUAACCCAAUAGAGAAAAGUUUAUUUUCUUAGCAGAUUCUUCCCUCUAUUAGUGUCUCUUUCCCCAAUCCAGGAAACCCAUGUAGGUGUUCACCCCACUUUGGUCAGCUGCUUUCAGUGGGGGUGAAGUUGAGCUCCUAAGCAUUAAGCUUGAAGAACAAUAGAUAGGUGGUUCUGCUCGGUUAACCAACCACCAGGCUCUUAUUUGUCUGAGUGGGUUGGCCCUGUAUGGCUGAGAACUGAAUAGUUUUGGGACAAUAGAGCAUAUUUUUGUAGAGGCUGAAUUAAAGGAAGACAAAGAGGAGGAAGGAAAAUGAACUAGCAGCAAGAAGACUGAGGAAAAAGAAGAGAAAUAACUUAAAGAAAUUUUUUAUAAAGUCUUGCCAUAUUGUGUGCAACAUAAACUUUCCUGCCUUCCCAAGAAUUCUUCAGUGAAGUAGAUAUUCUUUAUUGUCUUUUUUAAAUGUUUAUUUAUUCUUUGAGGAAAGAGAGAGAGAGACAUAGAGCAUGAGCGGAGGAGGGGCAGA